CCGUAGCCCAAGAGAUCGGGAUAACACCUGGAAACAGAUGCUAAUACCGGAUAACAACAGAUGAUGCCUAUCAACUGUUUAAAAGAUGGUUCUGCUAUCACUCUUGGAUGGACCUGCGGUGCAUUAGCUAGUUGGUAGGGUAACGGCCUACCAAGGCGAUGAUGCAUAGCCGAGUUGAGAGACUGAUCGGCCACAUUGGACUGAGACACGGCCCAAACUCCUACGGGAGGCAGCAGGC
rnacentral:rRNA from 1 species